GAUGAAGAACGCAGCGAAAUGCGAUAAGUAAUGUGAAUUGCAGAAUUCAGUGAAUCAUCGAAUCUUUGAACGCACCUUGCGCCCCUUGGUAUUCCGAGGGGCAUGCCUGUUCGAGCGUCAUUUCAACCCUCAAGCACAGCUUGGUCUUGGGCUUCGCCGCUAACCCGGCGGGUCUUAAAAUCAGUGGCGGUGCCGUCGGGCCCUGAGCGCAGUAAUCUCUCUCGCUAUAGGGUCCCGGCGGAUGCUGGCCAGUAACCCCCAAUUUUCUAUGGUUGACCUCGGAUCAGGUAGGGAUACCCGCUGAACUUAAGCAUAUCAAUAAGCGGAGGA
rnacentral:misc_RNA from 1 species